UACGAAGGGGGCUAGCGUUGUUCGGAAUUACUGGGCGUAAAGCGCACGCAGGCGGCUUUCUAAGUCGGGGGUGAAAUCCUGGAGCUCAACUCCAGAACUGCCUUCGAUACUGGAGAGCUUGAGUCCGGGAGAGGUGAGUGGAACUGCGAGUGUAGAGGUGAGAUUCGUAGAUAUUCGCAAGAACACCAGUGGCGAAGGCGGCUCACUGGCCCGGUACUGACGCUGAGGUGCGAAAGCGUGGGGAGCAAACAGG
rnacentral:rRNA from 1 species